rnacentral:rRNA from 1 species
GCGUAUAUUAAAGUUGUUGCAGUUAAAAAGCUCGUAGUUGGAUUUCUGGUUGAAGCGACCGGUCGGGCGUUGAUUCGUCUGCACUGGAGUCGGUUUUGGCCAUCCUCUAGGAAAGUGCGUCUGGUAUUAAGUUGUCGGGCGUAUGAUCCUGGUCUUUUACUGUGAAAAAAUUAGAGUGUUUAAAGCAGGCCUUCGCCUUGAAUACAUUAGCAUGGAAUAAUAAGAUAGGACUUUGGUCUAUCUUGUUGGUUUGCAGACCGAAGUAAUGAUUAAUAGGGAUAGUUGGGGGUAUUUAUAUUCCGAUGUCAGAGGUGAAAUUCUUAGAUUUUCGGAAGAUAAACUUAUGCGAAAGCAUUUACCAAGGAUGUUUUCAUUAAUCAAGAACGAAAGUUAGGGGAUCGAAGAUGAUUAGAUACCAUCGUAGUCUUAACCAUAAACUAUGCCGACUCAGGAUUGGUGGACGUUUAUUUAAUGACUCCAUCAGCACUGUAUGAGAAAUCAAAGUCUUUGGGUUCCGGGGGGAGUAUGGUCGCAAGGCUGAAACUU